GACAGAGGUGCAAACGUUGUUCGGAUUUACUGGGCGUAAAGCGCGUGUAGGCGGCUUUGCAAGUCGGAUGUGAAAGCCCACGGCUCAACCGUGGAAGUGCAUCCGAAACUGCUGAGCUUGAGUACUUAAGAGGAUCGCGGAAUUCCCGGUGUAGAGGUGAAAUUCGAUAGAUAGUCGGGAGGAACACCGGGUGGCGAAGGCGGCUCUCUGGACGGUGACGUGACGCUGAGACGCGAAAGCGUGGGGAGCAACAGG
rnacentral:rRNA from 1 species